rnacentral:lncRNA from 1 species
GGGGUGUGGGACUCUCCCUUCGAAGCUCUUUCACCAACUGGCCUUGAGAUGGGAGGCUAACGAUCUGGAGCCCACGGACAGAGUGGGGAGGAUUGGAGUGGAGAAACCAAGGCUCAGACUUGAGCGGAUGUGGAAGGAGAAUCUCAAGAAGGCUGCGAAGCUGGGGAGCCCUGCAGUGCCACAGGCUGGGAGGCCCACCAGGUUCUACCCUCUGGUUGCAGUGACUCCUCGGGGCUGAUGUCCAGCCUUACCUCUCGUGAUGGUGGUAGAGGCUUUGUACUGGUGGGAUGCAGGCUGUUGAGUCAAGUUGGCCGGUGGCCACUACGCC